rnacentral:rRNA from 1 species
UGCAGUCGAGGGAGAGCAGUUGUUCCGUAAGGUUCGACUGUGGAAACCGGCGAACGGGUGCGUAACACGUGAGAAACCUGCCCCCAGACCGGGAUAGGCCAGGGAAACUUGGAUUAAUACCGGAUAUUCUCUUUGGAUCGCAUGAUCCUUUGAGGAAAUGGUCCGCUGCUGGGGGAUGGUCUCGCGGCCUAUCAGGUAGUUGGUGAGGUAAUGGCUCACCAAGCCUAAGACGGGUAGCUGGUCUGAGAGGACGAUCAGCCACACUGGAACUGAGACAAGGUCCAGACUCCUACGGGAGGCAGCAGCAGGGAAUAUUGCACAAUGGGCGAAAGCCUGAUGCAGCGACACCGCGUGCGGGAUGACGGCCUUAGGGUUGUAAACCGCUUUCGGGAGGGAAGAAAAUGACGGUACCUCCUAAAGAAGCUCCGGCCAACUACGUGCCAGCAGCCGCGGUAAUACGUAGGGAGCAAACGUUGUCCGGAUUUAUUGGGCGUAAAGGGCUCGUAGGCGGUUCAACAAGUCGGUCGUGAAAGCCCGGGGCUCAACCCCGGGAUGCCGGUCGAAACUGUUGUGACUAGAGUUCGGUAGAGGUGAGUGGAAUUCUCGGUGUAGCGGUGGAAUGCGCAGAUAUCGAGAGGAACACCAUUAGCGAAGGCGGCUCACUGGGCCGAUACUGACGCUGAGGAGCGAAAGCGUGGGGAGCAAACAGGAUUAGAUACCCUGGUAGUCCACGCCGUAAACGAUGAACACUAGGUGUGGCGGGACUAAUUCACGUCUGCUGCGCCGUA